UACAGGGGGUGCAAACGUUUGCUCGGAAUCAUUUGGGCGUAAAGCGCACGUAGGCGGUUCGUUUAUGUCGGAUGUGAAAGCCCUUGGCUUAACCGAGGAAGUGCAUCCGAAACUGGCGAGCUAGAGUACGAAAGAGGAUCGCGGAAUUCCCGGUGUAGAGGUGAAAUUCGUAGAUAUCGGGAGGAACACCGGUGGCGAAGGCGGCGAUCUGGGUCGAUACUGACGCUGAGGUGCGAAAGCGUGGGGGAGCAAACAGGG
rnacentral:rRNA from 1 species